CCUACGGGUGGCUGCAGUAGGGAAUAUUGGUCAAUGGAUGGAAGUCUGAACCAGCCAUGCCGCGUGCAGGAAGAAGGCCUUCUGGGUUGUAAACUGCUUUUGUCAGGGGAUAAAAAGACCGUGCGCGGUUAAUUGAAGGUACCUGAUGAAUAAGCCACGGCUAACUACGUGCCAGCAGCCGCGGUAAUACGUAGGUGGCAAGCGUUGUCCGGAUUUAUUGGGUUUAAAGGGUGCGUAGGCGGUCUAUUAAGUCAGUGGUGAAAUAUGGCAGCUCA
rnacentral:rRNA from 1 species